GUGAUGUAAAAUGGUUGGUCCACAGGUAUUUAUUUAGUAAGGGGCAGAGUCUGGGCUUAUCCUUACAAUUCUCCUGUUCCAAUAAAAAAGAAACCAGUGUGAAGAGCAGGUGCCUCUUCUUGAGGAGAAAAGGCAUGGAGUAGUGGACAACUUCAAACCCUCAGAGCCCUCGGAUACCACUCCCACCCGCUGAUUGUACUUUGAUCUUAGACAAAUUUAAAAACUUUCCAAGGCUUCAGUUCCCUCUUUUGUAAAAGGAGGAAAGACAGCUUUACUCAGUAGGUUUGUAGAGAAAAGGACCUGGGGCACCAGGCAGGUAGUUACAAAGCGGAGCACUUGUUUUUCAGAAAGAUUCAGGCUGCUAGGACCCGCUCAGUGCGGCCCUGGGAACUGUCCCUGCCCCCCGCCGUCCACCCGUGCUGACUGUGCACGCGGUGGACGUGCAACUGCACACAGAAAAACCUGCCGCUGAAUUCGAAUGGCCGGGUGAGUUCUGUAGAGUGGCCUUGUACAUUCCUUUUCGGUCCCCAAAUGCAAUCUGUAAAAUGUGUAAAAUACAACGAUUUGUGAGAAACAUGUAGUUUGUCUCAUCUGACACCCACAUGGAGAAAGGGUCUCUCGGUCCUUUUUACGAGAUUUAGCAGACACUGUUACUGAUUCAUAAACAUUUAGACUCUACCUCUGCUUUAAAAAAAAAUAGAUUACAAACAAAACUUUCUUAGGUUGCUGGUUUUUAUAAAGUUUGUCGUCGCCCCCUCCCCCAAUCCAAAGUUAUUUCUUGGCCAAGAAUGCUUGGGGAGAGGUGAUUGGAGAAAAUAGAUGAGGGAGAUUUCUUGAGUCCCAGGCAUUCGCUUGAAACAGAAACUCUUGGAUUUAGAAAAUACUGUAGCAAAAGUAUGCUUGUAAAAUUAAAGUCCUUCCUGUCUUCCUCUAGGACCGCGGCUGCAGCGAGGGAAGAAGUCGCCUGGCCUUUGUCCUUGGAGCCAGACCUUCAGCCGGCCCGGUCCUGGGGUCCCGGACCACGCGCGCCCCGAGUGGGCAGCCGCAGGCUGUCCUCGCUGCUCCUGCGGCUGUCCGCGCUCGACCUCGCCCUCCUACACCGCCAGAGCCAGCGGAGACUCCAGCUCCUUCCCAAGAGAAGGGCAGCCUCUGGCUUCCGCGGGGCUGGAUUUAAGACGCAUGUACUCCUGAGCCGUCUGCUCUCUCCGCCUGGACUCUGGUCUUCGUGUCCGAGCAGCCCCCGCUCGCUCGUCCUCCGCCGGCGUCGCCGCUGCUGCCUGCUGUCCCCGCGGGAG
rnacentral:lncRNA from 1 species